rnacentral:lncRNA from 1 species
GUUAGUAGUUUUAGUGGUAGAUUUAGUUAGGUUAGUAGUUUUAGUUAGGUUAGUUAGUUAGCUUGGUUAGUUAGGUGGAGGAGGAGAAGAGGAGAAGAGGAGGAGGAGGAGGACAAGAAGAGGAGAAGAAGAAGAGGAGUAGGAGGAGGAGGAGGAGGAGAAGAAAAAGAAGAAGAGGAGAAGAAAAAAAUAAGAAGGAGAAGAAGAAGAAAAAGAAGAACAAGAGAAGAAAAAAAUAAGAAGGAAAAGAAGUAAAGAAGAAGAGAAAAAGAAGAGAAGAAGAGAAUAAGAAAAAAAAUAAGAAGGAGAAGAAGAGAAAAAA